rnacentral:rRNA from 1 species
GACGAACGUUGGCGGCGUGCUUAAUACAUGCAAGUCAACUGAAGCAGUGGUAGCAAUAUCGCUGUGGAGGUGGCGCACGGGAGAGUAACACGUAGGUAAUCUGCCUUCAGGUCUGGCAUAACUCCGGGAAACCGGGGCUAAUAGCAGAUGAUGCAGCGGCUCGACAUCGAGACAGUUGUUAAAGCUAUGGCGCCUGAAGAUGAGCCUGCGUCUGAUUAGCUAGUUGGCGGGGUAACGGCCCACCAAGGCAACGAUCAGUAGCUGGUCUGAGAGGAUGAUCAGCCACACUGGAACUGAGACACGGUCCAGACUCCUACGGGAGGCAGCAGUAAGGAAUAUUGCUCAAUGGGAGAAAUCCUGAAGCAGCAACGCCGCGUGAGGGACGAAGGGCUUUUGCUUGUAAACCUCUGUAGUGAGAGAAAAAAAUCCCAAUCUUUGGGACAUGAUGGUAUCUCAAAAGUAAGCCCCGGCUAACUACGUG